GCAUCGCAAGAUGAGUGGCAGACGGGUGAGUAACACGUGGGAACAUACCCUUUGGUGCGGAACAACAGCUGGAAACGGCUGCUAAUACCGCAUGCGCCCUACGGGGGAAAGAUUUAUCGCCGAAGGAUUGGCCCGCGUCUGAUUAGCUAGUUGGUGAGGUAAUGGCUCACCAAGGCGACGAUCAGUAGCUGGUCUGAGAGGAUGAUCAGCCACACUGGGACUGAGACACGGCCCAGACUCCUACGGGAGGCAGCAGUGGGGAAUAUUGGACAAUGGGCGCAAGCCUGAUCCAGCCAUGCCGCGUGAGUGAUGAAGGCCCUAGGGUUGUAAAGCUCUUUCAGCGAGGAGGAUAAUGACGUUACUCGCAGAAGAAGCCCCGGCUAACUUCGUGCCAG
rnacentral:rRNA from 1 species